rnacentral:siRNA from 1 species
CUUGAUCUCACCUUAUGCUUC